rnacentral:tRNA from 1 species
GGAGGAGUGCGUGAGUGGUCGAAACGAGCGGUCUUGAAAACCGCCAGGCCGAAAGGUCUCGUGGGUUCGAAUCCCACCUCCUCCG